AUGAUCACACACCCUAAUCAUAAUGUCUUUUCAGAGGAGAACAUUUAAAGUAACAACCAAUUACUUAAUGAUAUUAUUUUUGUCUCAUGUUGAUAUAUUUAUUCAACAGACCUUUAUUAAGUUCACUUCCUGGGAGCCAGACUGUGAUGGAUGCUGGAGAUAUAAAAAUGAAUAGAACCCUGAACUUUGAAGGUUCAAUAUCUAGGAGUGGUGUUAAAAACCUGAGCAGUUACAGCAAUAUUAUAAGUGUUAUCAUAAUCAAAUGAAUUAUGUUGAUAAAAUACUUAUAACAAAUAUAAUAAUAAUAAAUCUACAAAGGGCAACAGGAAUACAGAAGAGGCAAUAGUUAAUUUUGUCUUGAAAAGUUGGAAAUUUUGGAAAAAAAUCCAAAAAAAUAGGAAAUAAGGCAUGAAACCAUGUAGGAACAUUUUACUGAGUCUUGGAGCAUGAAUUGUAAAAAGAAACCUGUAACAGCAGGAAAAGGACCAGCCUGUGAAAAGUCACAGCUUGAGAUAGAUUUAUGUACUCUGGCACUGGCAGAUGAUUUAGUCCUGCUAGAAAAAUGAUGUGCAUCAUGUGAGGCAGAAAGGGUGAUGGGAGUUGUGGCUAGAAAGCAGGUACCAACAGUAAGCUUGUUAAAGAAAUGGGCUUACCUAACAGUAACCUUGUUAAAGAGUUGGGCUGCAGAUAUAAUAAUGUUAAGAUAGAAUUACUGUCUUUGAGGACAAGGUAGUAGGUAGUAGAAGGGCCUUAUAUACUAAGGAUCUUAUUUUAUCAGAAAUAAGGAGCCAUUACAGAAUUUUAAGUAGAGGAAUGACGUAGUUUAAUUUCUGUUACAGAAACAUUACUCUGACAGCAGAGAAGAGGUUGAGUUAGAGAAGAAGAUGGGAGGUAGGGAGGAUACUAAAUUUGUGUAAGUGAGGAGUUGAACUAAAGCAGUGGAAGGU
rnacentral:lncRNA from 10 species